UGGGGAAUCUUGCGCAAUGCGCGAAAGCGUGACGCAGCAACGCCGCGUGGGCGAAGAAGGCCUUCGGGUCGUAAAGCCCUUUCAGCAGGGACGAAGCUCCGGCAGCGAAUAGCUGUCCGGAGUGACGGUACCUGCAGAAGAAGCCCCGGCUAACUACGUGCCAGCAGCCGCGGUAAUACGUAGGGGGCUAGCGUUGUCCGGAAUCAUUGGGCGUAAAGCGCGCGUAGGCGGCCAGAUAAGUCCGGUGUGAAAGACACAGGCUCAACCUGUGAAUGCCGCUGGAAACUGUCUGGCUAGAGUCCGGAAGGGGCGAGUGGAAUUCCUGGUGUAGCGGUGAAAUGCGCAGAUAUCAGGAGGAACACCAAUGGCGAAGGCAGCUCGCUGGGACGGUACUGACGCUGAGGCGCGAAAGCGUGGGGAGCAAACAGGAUUAGAUACCCUGGUAGUCCACGCCGUAAACGAUGGGCACUAGGUGUCGGAGGU
rnacentral:rRNA from 1 species